rnacentral:rRNA from 1 species
GACGAACGCUGGCGGCGUGCUUAACACAUGCAAGUCGAACGGAAAGGCCUCUUUCGGGGGGUACUCGAGUGGCGAACGGGUGAGUAACACGUGAGUAACCUGCCCUUGACUUUGGGAUAACUUCAGGAAACUGGGGCUAAUACCGGAUAGGAGCUCCUGCUGCAUGGUGGGGGUUGGAAAGUUUCGGCGGUUGGGGAUGGACUCGCGGCUUAUCAGCUUGUUGGUGGGGUAGUGGCUUACCAAGGCUUUGACGGGUAGCCGGCCUGAGAGGGUGACCGGCCACAUUGGGACUGAGAUACGGCCCAGACGCCUACGGGAGGCAGCAGUGGGGAAUAUUGCACAGUGGGUGGAAGCCUGAUGCAGCAACGCCGUGUGCGGGAUGACGGCCUUCGGGUUGUAAACCGCUUUCGCUCAUGACGAAGCUUUGUGUGACGGUAGUGGGUAAAGAAGCACCGGCUAACUACGUG